GGAGCUCAAGAUGGACAGUAAACUAUGCGUGGAUCGUCUUUACAGUAUCUACAUGAACAUUAGAGGAAGUUCAGCUCUUUCACUGACACAAACAGGAUGAAGACUUUGAGCAGAAACUGUGUUGAGUACUGUUUUAGAGGCCUUGGUUUCAUAUGUAGCCUUUCGCCCACAGUGUUUCCAGAGCACGUUCUGCACACCUUCUGCAUCUCAUAUCUCCAAUAAUAGACACCCGUACCACAUCUGACCAAAGACCACAGCGCGUCUCAUCUUGAGCAGAGCAGCAACAAGCAGCUGCAAGGUGGGACGAUGGUCACCCUGCAUGACAUCUGGAAUUAACAUCAGGGGACUGUUAUUCUCCUGCAACUACACCCAACAUCUGCUCUACAUAAAGUGAAACUGCAGCAUGAAAACUAUUUGUGAAGGCAGUGAAGGAAACCCGGGACCAUUAGGGGAUGUUCAUACUGGGCUUGUCUCAGUCAGCAGGGAUUUAACUGUUAUUCUGUUAUUCUAAGUAUGCAUUAGUGUGGAUGUGUUUGAUAAUUGCAGAAGAGGCUGAUUAUAUACAUAUAAUGAUGGGGUGCUGCGCCAGAUGACCACCUUUGAAGAUGGUUCUUCAAAGUAGCCACCUUUAGCUUUGAUUACUGCUUUGCACACUCUUGGCAUUCUCUUGAUGAGCUUCAAGAGGUAGUCACCUGAAAUGGUCUUCCAACAGUCUUGAAGGAGUUCCCCGAGAGAUGCUUAGCACUUGUUGGCCCUUUUGCCUUCUGUCUGCGGUCCAGCUCACCCCUAAACCAUCUGGAUUGGGUUCAGGUCCGGUGACUGUGGAGGCCAGGUCAUCUGGCGCAGCACCCCAUCACUCUCCUUCUUGGUCAAAUAGCCCUUGAUGCCUUCAGUGUGACUCUACAACUUUCAUAGUCAUGAAAAUAAAGAAAACUCUUUGAAUGAGAAGGUGU